GCCCACCUGGGCUGACUGCUUGUCAGGCCUACCAAGAAGGCCCCUGCUCUAUCUGCUAAGAGGUUUAUCCAGCACAGCCAGUAGAGCUAAUGGAGGAGUCAGGCCUGCUUCAAGAACAGCCCAAAUGGUAGCCUUAGCCUGGUUCUGAGCAUACUUAGAGCUAUUUCCCUGAAGGCCACAUCUCCUCAUUGGUAACCGGAGAAGCAAUGGAGUGUUUCCUACUUUGAGGAACUUUUUUGUUUAGUAUUUGUGUGUGUGUGUGUGACCUUGCUAGAGAGAGAGGACACACUCUGGACCAUCUGAAUGGAGCUUGCAGGCCACUGUUUGGGAACCCCUGAUUAAAAAAACAAACCUAGGAAUUGCACCUUCAGGAUGAUGGAUGAGAAGCCUAAGUCAGGACUAGACUAAAAAUAAAAAUAAAAAAUGGACUGCCUUCAAGUCGAUCCCGAAC